rnacentral:tRNA from 1 species
GAAAUAUGAACUCAAGAAAAAGCUGCUAACUUUUAACUUUAAUGGUUAAACCCAUUAAUAUUUCA